CCUUACACUUACAAAUAGCCAAAUAGACUUCAUAGUAGCGAUAGCAGCAGCAGCAGUAGUAGUAGUAGUUGUAGAUGUAGUAGCUAUAUUAGUAGUAGUAGUUGUUGUUGUUGUAGUAGGUGUUGUUGUUGUAGUAAUUGAUAUAGUAGCAGUAAGUAGUAGUAGUAGAAGUAGUAGCAUUAACAGUUUCUGUAGCAAUAGUAGUAGCAAUAGAAGUAGCAGUAGUAGCAGUUGUUGCAGUAGUAGCAGUUGUUGCUGCUGCUGUUGCUGCUGUUGUUGUUGCUGCUGUUGUUGUUGUUUCUGCUGUUGUUGUUGCUGCUGUUAUUGUUGCUGUUGUUGUUGGUGGUGUUGUUGUUGAUGCUGUAGUAAUUAAAGUAGUAGUUCUGCAGAAGUAGGAGUAGUUGUUACUUUCAAAGCAAUUUCUACAAGUUUAAAUUCCUUAACCCUGUCCAUGUGGUAUACACACUGUUUUUUCUCAAUAUCAAACUCAGCCAGUCCAGGUUGUCAAAUAACAAUCUAUCUGAUAAGCCCAGCUUGUGCAGUGAGUCAGAUGUUGGGUAUGUUUGCUGCAAAUCUAUUGGUUAUAAGAUAUAACAGCCUUUUCUAAUUGGCUGAAUUCAAAUACAGAAAGUUUACCUGUUAGAUUGAAACAUGAAACAUGGUGGAAAAUGUACUGGUUUAACUUGUUAAAAUAAAGUUAAAGAAAUUUAACAAACAGAAGAGUUCAUUAGUUUUUCCAUUAAAAACACUUUUUUAAAAUACUUAUGUAUUUAUAUCAUUUGGAAAGUGACAUGAAAUAUUGUUAAAGAGUGAUGCAUACAGUGUUUGAGCAGUCUGUCUAGGAAUAGAACAACAACUGAAGUUGAUGGAAGAUACUGCAGAGUUUGGCAGGGAAAUAAUCCAACAGCAAAGCCGCUCUUUAAGCGCAUUCACCUAGAGGACUUACAGGGCCACACAUUCAUGAGCACAUGUGAGCAGUAUACAAUGUACCUCAUACCAAAAAGAACCCGGAGGCAGUGACUGGUGUUCAAUAUUCUCAGAAGAAAAGGAAAAUGGCAGUGGAAGACUUGGACAAACAUUUUUUAAAACUAGCCUCUGUGUUAAGCCUGGCAGUCUGUGGCUGGUGACAUGUUUUAUUUGGGUUACUUCUUGUAUAAAAAAGACCAGUUAUUUAUUUUGUGAAUUAUAUUUUGUGUUUGUUUUUUGUCUUAAUUUAUUAUAUUUUUUUUAAUUUAGGAAUUUGAAACUUGGAUAAUUGAAUAAAGUCCGUGUUCAACAGUACUGAGCAUAGUAUAAUAAAUAACAAAUUUACAACAGUUGUUAAUUUGUUAUGUAUUAUUAUUAACUAUGCUCAGUACUUGAAUACUGGCUGUCUGCAUGGGAAUUUGUUUUCUAGAAAGUUGGUUUCAGACUUAAAUAUUUGAAGUUAACCUUCGGAACUUUUCUAGAAUUGUACUGGAACACAUCAACUAAAACUGAACUUCUGUUAUCAUACUAAAAGUGUUCUAGAAUUAAUAAGGAACAGUUGUUGAACGUUAAAAUUUAUGAGAAAAAACUCAAGAACAA